UAGGGAAUCUUCCGCAAUGGACGCAAGUCUGACGGAGCAACGCCGCGUGAGUGAAGAAGGAUUUCGGUUCGUAAAACUCUGUUGUUAGAGAAGAACAGCGCAUAGAGUAACUGUUAUGCGUGUGACGGUAUCUAACCAGAAAGCCACGGCUAACUACGUGCCAGCAGCCGCGGUAAUACGUAGGUGGCAAGCGUUGUCCGGAUUUAUUGGGCGUAAAGCGAGCGCAGGCGGUCAAUUAAGUCUGAUGUGAAAGCCCCCGGCUCAACCGGGGAGGGUCAUUGGAAACUGGUUGACUUGAGUGCAGAAGAGGAGAGUGGAAUUCCAUGUGUAGCGGUGAAAUGCGUAGAUAUAUGGAGGAACACCAGUGGCGAAGGCGACUGUCUGGUAUGUAACUGACGCUGAGGCUCGAAAGCGUGGGUAGCAAACAGG
rnacentral:rRNA from 1 species